UACGUAGGGACCGAGCGUUGUCCGGAAUCAUUGGGCGUAAAGAGCGUGUAGGCGGCCUUUUAAGUCCUGCGUGAAAUCCUGCGGCUCAACCGCAGACGGUCGUGGGAAACUGGAAGGCUAGAGUGCGGGAGAGGAGGGUGGAAUUCCCGGUGUAGCGGUGAAAUGCGCAGAUAUCGGGAAGAACACCCGUGGCGAAGGCGGCUCUCUGGAGCGCAACUGACGCUGAGACGCGAAAGCGUGGGGAGCAAACAGG
rnacentral:rRNA from 1 species